GCCCGCGUAGCUCAGGGGAUAGAGCAACUGCCUCCUAAGCAGUAGGCCGCAGGUUCGAAUCCUGCCGCGGGCA
rnacentral:tRNA from 1 species